rnacentral:rRNA from 1 species
CCUGGCUCAGAUUGAACGCUGGCGGCAGGCCUAACACAUGCAAGUCGAGCGGUAACAUUUCAAAAGCUUGCUUUUGAAGAUGACGAGCGGCGGACGGGUGAGUAAUGCCUGGGAAUUUGCCCAUUUGUGGGGGAUAACAGUUGGAAACGACUGCUAAUACCGCAUACGCCCUACGGGGGAAAGCAGGGGACCUUCGGGCCUUGCGCUGAUGGAUAAGCCCAGGUGGGAUUAGCUAGUAGGUGAGGUAAAGGCUCACCUAGGCGACGAUCCCUAGCUGGUCUGAGAGGAUGAUCAGCCACACUGGGACUGAGACACGGCCCAGACUCCUACGGGAGGCAGCAGUGGGGAAUAUUGCACAAUGGGGGAAACCCUGAUGCAGCCAUGCCGCGUGUGUGAAGAAGGCCUUCGGGUUGUAAAGCACUUUCAGCGAGGAGGAAAGGGUGGUAAGUUAAUACCUUCACAUCUGUGACGUACUCGCAGAAGA